UACGUAGGGUGCAGGCGUUAAUCGGAAUUACUGGGCGUAAAGCGUGCGCAGGCGGUUUCUUAAGUCAGAUGUGAAAGCCCCGGGCUUAACCUGGGAACUGCGUUUGAAACUGGGAGACUUGAGUGUGGCAGAGGGGGGUGGAAUUCCACGUGUAGCAGUGAAAUGCGUAGAUAUCUGGAGGAAUACCGGUGGCGAAGGCGGCAUCCUGGACCGGCAUUGACGCUGAGGAGCGAAAGCCAGGGGAGCAAACGGG
rnacentral:rRNA from 1 species